rnacentral:rRNA from 1 species
UACGUAGGGUGCAAGCGUUGUCCGGAAUUAUUGGGCGUAAAGAGCUCGUAGGCGGUCUGUCGCGUCUGCUGUGAAAACUCAGGGCUUAACCCUGAGCUUGCAGUAGGUACGGGCAGACUAGAGUGCGGUAGGGGAGACUGGAAUUCCUGGUGUAGCGGUGAAAUGCGCAGAUAUCAGGAGGAACACCAGUGGCGAAGGCGGCUUUCUGGUCCUUAACUGACGCUGAGGCGCGAAAGCAUGGGGAGCGAACGGG